rnacentral:rRNA from 1 species
GACGAACGCUGGCGGCGUGCCUAAUACAUGCAAGUCGAACGCAGUGGGGACGGGUGAGUAACACGUGGGUAACCUCCCAUCAGAGGGGAUAACACUUGGAAACAGGUGCUAAACCGAUACUGAUGGAUGGACCCGCGGUGCAUUAGCUAGUUGGUGAGGUAACGGCUCACCAAGGCCACGAUGCAUAGCGGGCCGGGGAGGGUGAUGGGCCACACUGGGGCUGGGACACGGCCCAGACGCCGAGGGGAGGCAGCAGUGGGGAGUGUUCGGCAAUGGGGGAAGGGGUGGCGGAGGGAGGCCGCGUGAGUGAAGAAGGGUUUGGGAUCGUAAAACUCUGUUGUUAGAGAAGCGGUAUCUAACCAGAAAGCCACGGCUAACUACGUGCCAGCAGCCGCGGUAAUUC